UCCCCGCUGGAGGGGGGACGUCCUCCCUUGCAUUCCUCUUCAGUCGUUGGCCCAAGAGCAACAUCACCGGCCUUGGCCGCCCGCGGGUUUCCUGUGUUGCAUACCUACCGGAAGGAAUUCGUACGACAAAACGACCCGACGUUCUCCGGGCGCCGCGGCUCCCCUUGCGUGGGCGCGGCGUGCGUGGGGUGAACCGCGAAGGCGAGUCCGUGUUCCGGGUCGCAGCCAAGCGACGCGUCCCGGCCCACGAGCUGCCGCCUGAGCUCUCGGAUGCAGUGCACCAGGAGAGCGAGGUCGCUCGACGACCUCUGUUUGCCCGAACCCGGCGUCAAUCGCCCGCACCGAACGACUGCCGUCGCCG
rnacentral:misc_RNA from 1 species